rnacentral:lncRNA from 1 species
CUGACUUCAUUUCUUCUCACAAUGCCAUCUCAGGUUGGUAUUGCCCACCUACUUUACAGGGGGGAUCCCACAGCUCCGAGAGGUUAUGGAGGUGAUCAGGCAGCACACAGCUUUAGAGUGCUGGGGUGAGGGCGGGCCAAGGCUAACUCUAAAGCCCGAACCCUUACCUCCUACACUGCCUCCUGCAUUCUGGUCAACCCAGUGUUUUAUUUGGUGGUUAGAUUUUUGUUUUUGUUACCUUACUGCUUGUAAUUUAGCAGUUUUCCUUUCCUUUCCCUUCCUUUCCUUUCCGACAGGGUCUCACUCUGUCACCCAGGCUAGAGUGCAGUCGUGUAAUCUCACUGCAACAACCUCUGCCUCCCAGGUUCAACCAAUUCUCCCACCUCAGCCUCCUGAGUAGCAAGGACCACAGGUGUGCACCACUACGCCUGGCUAGUUUUUUGUAUUUUUAGUAGAGAUGAGGUCUCGCUGUGUUGCCCAGGCUGGUUUUAAACUCCUGGGCGCAAGUGAUCCACCAACCUUGGCCUGCCAAAGUGCUGGCAUUACAGGUGUGAGCCACCUCGCCUGGCCUAUUCAUCACUAAUCAGAAUUUCUAUGAUCAAAUGACAUGAAUCAUUGUUUCCACAACUGCAGUGGAAGGAAAUGGCCUGGCAGUGCCAGUUUCAGAAGCAGCCUGCCCCCAGUCAGGCACAGGCCACUGUGCCCCCAGUGUAGCAGCACCUCUGUAGCUCACAGAGAAGGGUGGUGGGGACCUCCUUGAGGCAGCUCUGCCAGAAAAUCUCAUGAGCUGCCUGGCACAGCUUGAGGUUGCCUUUUAAGUGGACUCAGCAAAUACAUGUUUGUUCAUCUUGAUUAUACACAAUAAACAACUACUCUGUAUAGUACGAGUAGUCCGUGGUUUUUGGCAUUUGAUUUAAACUUAGAGGCAUGUGAUAUUGAUGUUACUGCCUUCAUGACUGCACCCCCAUUCUGAUUUCAUAAUGGAAUGUUAUCUUGAGACCAGUUAGACAACAGGACAGGGAUCUUGGCUUCUGGUGAGAUUGACAGCAGUUUUAGUGUGGUCAGGGUCUCCCUGCCUACAGAUGGUUUUAGAAUGGUGCCCUGGAAGCUUUAUCCCAUUCUUUUCUGUGCGUAAUCUGAGUAGAGUGGAGAUCGAAGGCCUGAAUACAUAGUAAAUACCUGACUUAAUAUCUGCCGCAAUGGAAAUUGUGUGAUACAACAUUUAUGAAACGCUUAGUGCAGCACCUGCCAGGUAGCUCACCACAGGUGCAUGUUGCAUUCAGAAGUAGUGCUAGAUACUAUCCUGUUACUGGCAGUGCAUACAUCAGUGAUCAAAGCAGAUUAAAGAAAGACCCCCUGCCUUCUUGGAGUGAAGAUUUUGUUGGGAUGCGGGUAAGGGGACAGACAAUAGAAAAGCAAGUGAGUGAAGUCUAUACCAUGGCGGCUGAUCAGGAACACCGUACAGAAGAAUCCAGGAGGGAAGAGAGUUAGGUGGUGUCUGCGGUGGGAGUGGCAUUGUUCAGCUGGUGAUGAGAAGAAGCUUUGGUGAUCUGGUGACAUUUGAGUGAAUUUGCAGAAAGGAAAGAUACAAGCCUAGGAGAUACCUGGGGAAGGAACAUUCCAGGCAGAGCAAAUAGCAGUGCAAAGGCCCUGGCGGGGGGCGGACAUGCUG